UCUGACUAUACACAUGUUUUGUUAUAUAGAGGUUCGGGUAUAAAGAGGUUCUGAAUACAAAAAGGUUCUGUUACAUAGAGGUUCUGACUAUACAGAGGUUCUGACUAUACACAGGUUUUGUUAUAUAGAAGUUCGGUUAUAAAGAGGUUCUGACUACAAAAAGGUUCUGUUACAUAGAGGUUCUGACCAUACAGAGGUUCUGACUAUACACAGGUUUUGUUAUAUAGAAGUUCGGCUAUAAAGAGGUUCUGACUACAAAAAGGUUCUGUUACAUAGAGGUUCUGACCAUACAGAGGUUCUGACUAUA